AUAAUUCUUUUGAAGCUCAAAUUUCUUUCAAAAGUAAUUACAUUUUCUUUCCUAUAAGAAUUAUUGGAGUGAGUUGAAAUACUUUAAGCUUUAGAAUCAUUAACUCUAUUCUUAAAAAUAGCUUUUCCUUUUAAUGAUAGAAGUAUUUAAUUAUGCAGGAGUGUAUAUUCAAAAUAUUAAUUUCUUAGUCAUAGUUUUU
rnacentral:lncRNA from 1 species